UGGACACACAUAAUAUCUUAAAAGCUUUUCAGAUUUACUACAGACAUUGAUAUUUCCUAUAUCCAAAUUUAAUAUCUUUAAAAUUCCUAUCAUAGCACAUAAGGAAGUCGAAGAGGAAGAGGAAGAAGAAGAAGAAGAAGAAGAAAUUUCUACAGAAGUGGAGAUCCCUCACACUGAAGUGCCUGAGAUACCAAAGAGGCAUAUUCCAGAAGAAAGAAAGCCUGUUCCUGUCCCUAAAAAAGAAGCUCCACCAGCUAAAGUGCCUGAAGUCCCUAAGAAACCUGUUCCAGAAAAGAAAGUUGCUGUUGCUAAAAAGGAGGUGGCUCCCCCAGCAAAAGUGCCCGAGGUGCCUAAGAGAGCUCCCCCAGAGAAAAAAAUUGCAGUUCCAAAAAGAGAGGAAGCUCCAGCACCUAAAGUGCCAGAAGUACCUAUGAAACCAGCUCCAGAAGAAAAAAUACCCCAUGUUCCUAAAGUAGAAGCUCCACCUGCCAAAGUGCCUGCCGUUCCUAAGAAACCUAUCCCUAAAGAGAAAGUACCUCCUGCUGUUCCUAAAAAAGUUGAGGCUCCUCCAGCUAAAGGUAUGCUUUGUGCUUCUGUGAAUUCUGCUGUUCUGAUUUAGUGACUG
rnacentral:lncRNA from 1 species